CAGAGAAUAGUAUUAGUUCAGAAUUCUGGCUUUGGUGAGCCAUUGAAAUGGGUGAGAUUCUGUUUUUA
rnacentral:tRNA from 1 species